CUGUAGUACCACCGAACUCGCCGUCUGUUUGCAUUCUAGCUGGAGCAUAGAAUUACCUGGAGAACCGAGAAGAGUUGCACUUUCGGAACGAUACGGAAACGAUCGAAACUUUACGCUGCACACGUGAAAUCGGCUGCAACUGCAUCGAGCGCAAUCGUCGAGCCGUCAGCGGAUCGCGAUUGACAAACUUGUCGUCGGCGCGAGUCUGACUGAACGAGAAAUCCAUGCGAGUUUCUCUCUUUCUCCCUCUUUACCCCUCUCUUUAUCUCUCUUUCUCUGUCUAGCUCUGGCUGGUCUCCUACCACCCGGUCGCGUGUCCGCGGUCGCUUUACUUUUAUCUUCGUUCAACCGGCUCUCUGUGUCUCAUGCGUUCUCCCUCUCGUUCCGCUCCCUCCUACAAUCCGCCGUUCUGCCGUCAAGGUUUUCGCGCACGGGCCGAGCCAGCGGAUCCCCCUGUUCCUCGGCUUUUCACGGUGCUUCACGGCCGCAUUCGCGGAUCAAACGGCGCGACGCAGAAGCGCGAGACUGCGUGAAAUAUUGCCUUGCUGGUUUCGGACGUCUCGCAUGGAAGGCCUUCUACCAGCAGUUUAAAAUAAAAUCCUUUGCUCACGCUCCGACUAACGGCUAUACAACCAGAUCGGCGCCUAUACUGUGAUGACCUUAAGGAACCUCAUUCCGAGCGUACCACGUAAAUGUCACGAGUGUUAAUUCAUCCGCAUUGGAUACAGCGUAAAAGGGAGCCGCAUACCGUCGUCGGAAUGAUCGGAAGCUUCGAUUAGGUUUAAUAACUGCUGACCGUAAAAAACUGUCAACAACAAUCAUCUCAAGGAAGAUCGCGACGUUACAAUGUGCUGAAUACAGUGCAAAAAUAAUUACACACGAAUAAAGAACAAUAAAUUGCUUUGUCUUUUGACGCGCGUUCAUCUUAUUACAAGCUGCAUUCAAUAAAGUUAUUAUUAUAAUAUAAUAGCAAAACAAAAUAUCUCAAAGCGCGUCGAUGUAUACAUCUCAUAAUUCUUUAUGUAUUUAAAAAGUUGUUUGGGGUGUUAUUGGAAUUAUUAAUAAAUUUGGAAAAAUUAA